UUGUUGCAGUUAAAAAGCUCGUAGUUGGACCUUGGGCAGGAGGCACGGGUUGGCCGAAUGGCUCGACUCGGGUCUCCGGCCUCUAUGGGUGGUCGUGCCUUUGGUACGGUUCGCCCGGGUUACUGUGAAGAAAUUAGAGUGUUUAAAGCAGGCGAUUGCUUGGAUACAUCAGCAUGGAAUAACAAGAUAGGACCUGGUUCCACUUGUUGGUUUGGGGGCUUUGGUAAUGAUUAAUAGGGCCAGUUGGGGGCAUUAGUAUUCAGUAGUCAGAGGUGAAAUUCUUGGAUUUACUGAAGACUAACUAGUGCGAAAGCAUUUGCCAAGGAUGUUUUCAUUAAUCAAGAACGAAAGUUAGGGGAUCGAAGACGAUCAGAUACCGUCGUAGUCUUAACUAUAAACGAUGCCGACUCGGGAUCGGCAGACGUCGUUAGCGACACUGUCGGCACCGUGUGAGAAAUCAAAGUUUUUGGGUUCUGGGGGGAGUAUGGUCGCAAGGCUGAAACUUAAAGGAAUUGACGGAAGGGCACCACCAGGAGUGGAGCCUGCGGCUUAAUUUGACUCAACACGGGAAAACUCACCAGGUCCGGACAUAGUAAGGAUUGACAGAUUGAGAGCUCUUUCUUGAUUCU
rnacentral:rRNA from 1 species